GAUGAAGAACGCAGCGAAAUGCGAUACGUAGUGUGAAUUGCAGAAUUCAGUGAAUCAUCGAAUAUUUGAACGCACAUUGCGCCCUUUGGUAUUCCAAAGGGCAUGCCUGUUCGAGCGUCAUUUGUACCCUCAAGCUUUGCUUGGUGUUGGGCGUCUUGUCUCCAGUCCGCUGGAGACUCGCCUUAAAGUCAUUGGCAGCCGGCCUACUGGUUUCGGAGCGCAGCACAAGUCGCACUCUUUUCCAGCCAAGGUCAGUGUCCAACAAGCCUUUUUUCAACUUUUGACCUCGGAUCAGGUAGGGAUACCCGCUGAACUUAAGCAUAUCAAUAAGCGGAGGA
rnacentral:misc_RNA from 1 species